UACGAAGGGUGCAAGCGUUACUCGGAAUUACUGGGCGUAAAGCGUGCGUAGGUGGUGGUUUAAGUCUGCUGUGAAAGCCCUGGGCUCAACCUGGGAAUUGCAGUGGAUACUGGGUCACUAGAGUGUGGUAGAGGGUAGUGGAAUUCCCGGUGUAGCAGUGAAAUGCGUAGAGGUCGGGAGGAACACCAGUGGCGAAGGCGACUACCUGGACCAACACUGACACUGAGGCACGAAGGCGUGGGGAGCAAACAGGAUUAGAUACCCUGGUAGUCCACGCCCUAAACGAUGCGAACUGGAUGUUGGGUGCACUUAGGCACGCAGUAUCGAAGCUAACGCGUUAAGUUCGCCGCCUGGGGAGUACGGUCGCAAGACUGAA
rnacentral:rRNA from 1 species